AUGCCUUAAACUGAUGAGUAAGGAAAAUAACGACGCGGGGUGACGCCCGUGUCCUCGUUCAACUUACGAGAUCAGUGUAUAAGACUCUCUGUGGUACAGUACACACAAAGAUGCUCUAUAAUAAUUCAUACAGUGUGUACAGUCAC
rnacentral:snRNA from 1 species